rnacentral:misc_RNA from 1 species
GAUGAAGAACGUAGCGAAAUGCGAUACGUAAUGUGAAUUGCAGAAUUCAGUGAAUCAUCGAGUCUUUGAACGCACAUUGCGCCCCCUGGAAUUCCGGGGGGCAUGCCUGUUCGAGCGUCUCAGGGACGAACCCUCGCGCGGGUGUACGCGCGGUCGUGGCUGCGGUGGCGUGCCCGAGGCGGCGGCCACCGCGCUGGAAUCCAUGGGCGGACGCCUGCCGCGUGGCCGAGCGUGAUAUGACGCAUUGGCGCUCGCACGCGGAGAGGCUGCCAGCCCUGGCCCGUCUGUCGGGCGGGGGAGAGCAAGACACGUGAACUCCUCGAAUCAGGUAGGGAUACCCGCUGAACUUAAGCAUAUCAAUAAGCGGAGGA